rnacentral:tRNA from 1 species
UAGAAAAGUAGGAAUUGAACCUACAACUAAGAGAUCAAAACCCUCCGUAAUCCAUUUACU